rnacentral:rRNA from 1 species
UUGACCUCAAAUCAGGUAGGACUACCCGCUGAACUUAAGCAUAUCAAUAAGCGGAGGAAAAGAAACUAACAAGGAUUCCCCUAGUAACUGCGAGUGAAGCGGGAAAAGCUCAAAUUUAAAAUCUGGCGGUCCUCGCGGCCGUCCGAGUUGUAAUCUGGAGAAGCGUUUUCCGCGUCGGACCGUGUACAAGUCUUCUGGAAUGGAGCGUCGUAGAGGGUGAGAAUCCCGUCUCUGACACGGACCGCCGAUGCUUUUGUGAUACGCUCUCGAAGAGUCGAGUUGUUUGGGAAUGCAGCUCAAAACGGGUGGUAAAUUCCAUCUAAAGCUAAAUAUUGGCGAGAGACCGAUAGCGAACAAGUACCGUGAGGGAAAGAUGAAAAGCACUUUGGAAAGAGAGUUAAACAGUACGUGAAAUUGUUGAAAGGGAAACGUUUGAAGUCAGUCGCGUCGGUCGAGACUCAACCUUGCUCUUUUGCUCGGCGCACUUCUCGGCCGACGGGUCAGCAUCAAUUUCGACCGUCGGAUAAAGGCCGAGGGAAUGUGGCAUCUUUCGGGAUGUGUUAUAGCCUUCGGUUCGCAUACGGCGAUCGGGAUUGAGGAACUCAGCGCGCCUUCAUCGGUCGGGGCUUCGGCUCAC